rnacentral:rRNA from 1 species
UACGGGGGGGGCAAGCGUUGUUCGGAAUUACUGGGCGUAAAGGGCUCGUAGGCGGCCAACUAAGUCCGACGUGAAAUCCCCAGGCUUAACCUGGGAACUGCGUCGGAUACUGGAUGGCUUGAAUUCGGGAGAGGGAUGCAGAAUUCCAGGUGUAGCGGUGAAAUUCGUAGAUAUUCGGAAGAACACCAGUGGCGAAGGCGACUCACUGGCCCGUUACUGACGCUGAGGCUCGAAAGCGUGGGGAGCAAACAGG